CAGGGCAAUUUAGGUAUUUACUGUAUUUGAAAAUACAUGCAGCGGUAUACAUGAUGAGAUUACAUAUGCAAUUCUUGUCUUGUAAUAAACAGAAAAAAAAACAGCCGCACAUAUGGCGUUUACAACAAAAACAACUCUCGGAAAAAAAGAAAAGGCGAAGAUAAAGGCGGUCGAACGAAGCAUCAACUAGUGUGGUGUACAACACAUUUUACAUUUACAAUGAUCAGAUAAUGUGAACAAGGUUUCCGAUAAAUAGGGUUGGGGGUAUUUAGAGUUCACCUUUCACAUUACCUCUUUUAAGGAAAAGAAAAAAGCGAUCCAAUUUUUACUUUCUGAUGGAGAGAAAUUCGAAGCUUCGGAGAGGGUCGUCACGAGUGGGUUUAGUAGUACGAGAGAAAGACGGCGGUUUAUGAUCAACGCCAGCUGGCUGGAUUCUUUGUGUGGUGGAUAUUCGACCACCACUGCUCGAUACCACUCUGGUGGUUCUGCCAUCACUUGGAUCGCCCGACGAGUUUGGUCUACUGCUCGAAAUGGCUGCUCUCCUUGAAGAGCUGCCGUUUCGAGAAGUACGCCCUUUUUCCGAAUCCGGUUGCUGCAUUCAAUUGAACCCAUUGAAAUCCCUCUUAGUACCAAGUUCAAAGUCGAGAAAUAUAAAAAAAAAAAAAAAAUCCAGGAAUUUUAAUGCAAGAAAAAUCACGUACGACCAAAGUUAUAAAAGACGGAUGAUGCCUAAUUUUUUAAUGGGAUGGAUGGAUAAAGAACAAAUACCACAUCUUUGGAGGAAGGUACAUCUUCUGAUGUCUUGUUUCUAAAAUUUUGACCAUGUCGACCUGGACCUGCAGGAUUUCUUCUAGAGAAAGCUUCAACGGCACCUGAGAAUCGAUCUCGAAUAUCUUGCCCCAUUGAAGAAAACAAUAAAAUCAAAAAAAAACAAUAAGAAUGUUCUAAUUCACAUACUUCAACGGCAUUCCUUUAUUUUCAGGUUUCAGAAUCUUCGAUUAAUUAAUUGUCAAAAGGGACGGAAACUCAAAUCAUUUGACAGGUCAUUUCACACACACACACACACACACACACACACUGUACUUAAUUACCUGAUGUUCUUCCUGAUCUCUCACCAGAAGUUCCCGCAACAGCGUUACCGGUAGGAUUCUGCAAGCAAGUCAAUGAACCUUUACAUUCACACUAUCAAAGAUCAUAAAGCAACACACGAAAGAAUAUGCAAACACUUACCCUUGAUCUGGAACUUGCACCAAUCUGAGGAUACUUCAACAUAGUCCAAUCGAACACAUAAUCAAAUUGGUAACCUGCACGAAUAUUUCAAAAAGUGCACAUGAGAUACGAUACUCAAGCAGGAAUAGACAAGUAAUGAUCACAAAAUACCGUUCAAUAAGAAAAUCAACAAGAGUAUGAGAUUAGAACAUAUGGUACAGUUAUAUUAUUCAUUACCUUCACGAAUAAAUAAAUCCCGGAAAAGUCGCUUUAAAUAGGAGUAAUCUGGUUUGUCCUCAAAUCUUAACGACCGGCAAUAGUGAAAAUAAGAUAUGAAUUCUGAUGGAAAUGAUUUGCAAAGGACCUGAAAUAAUUGUAAAUCAUGUAAGCUUUCCACGAAUCACCAAAUCCAGGGAUUGAUCGGAAAACCCUAACCAAAUUUAGCAUUUAGGAUUAGGGGAACAUAAUACUUCUAAGUUCUAACUAACUAUUUAUUCUUCAAAAUCAUAUAGACAUGCAGAGAAGACUAACAAAAGAUAUUCUGCACAUUGCAUUUUCUUUUCCUUUUGGUUUCAUGUGCAUUAUGCACAAAUUAACACAUGGUACGUAGUUUCAAAUGGUUAAAGGAGUAUUACUCCUCAACCAAAUCUUAUUGCGGCAGGCAGAUCAAGCACCACGAUUAGUUUACAGUUUCAACCCGUCAAGUAUUACUAUCCACACAUUGAAAUCUUAAAGCAGCAUGAUCAAUCCAGAAAAUCAAGUGGAUUCAAUAAACUAGCAGGAGUAGGUAUUCAAGACACAAAUUUAUACAAAUGAACAGAGAUAAUUAACUGUUGUUUUCUAGCAGCAUACAAUUUUUCAACGACACAACCUACAUAAAAAAUGCAAGAAUGGAUAUUUAUAUGAACCUCUAUAGGCGUAAGCAUUUUCUUCUCGCUAAUCUUGUCAUAUUUCUGUUUUUUGGUGCCAGCUUUAAGUCCCUGCCAGGGAAGACUGAAAUGAAGAGAAUGUAGAGUAAGUAAAGGAAUGCCAAAAAAAAAAAAACAGAACAGUGACCGACAAGGAUCCGAAACAAAGUAGGAAAAAUGAAAGAAAUACGAUGUUGAAUGAUGUCGGAUACAAUCGAUGAUGCUUUGGACAACGACGAGGCUGAGGAUGAAACAGAGGACUUGACAAACCAGGUCAAUUAUUUAUUAAAUUUAUUUAAUCACUGCUACUGAUUAAUCCAAGUAUUGAUUCGUACCUACGAUGAAUGUGUAACAGGUGCUCGACGAAAUUGGUGUAGACGUCGUCUCACAGGUUUAUUCUUUUCUUUUUUUCUUGUUUUUUUUUUUUUAAUUAGGUAAUAUAACAACAUGUUGAGUUUUACUUAUGUUACCCCAAUUCAAUGUACAGUUGUCAUCUGCUCCAAAAGGAAAAAUUGCUGGGAAGAAGGCACAGGAUGUUGGCAGGUAUAUUUUAAUUAUAUUGAUGCCUCGAUCGUUUAUUACUCGAGCGCACAUGUGGGGCCCGCGUUUUAUAUUAAUUAUGAUAUCGUUCUUAUUUAUUGCAGUUCAAGCACUGAUGAUCUAGAGAAGAGAUUAGCUGCCCUCAGGAAUCCUUGAUAAGCCUGAGUUUAAUGUUGUCUUAAUUUGUACAUAAUAAUUCUCCUGCUGCAGUUUAAGGUUUCGCAGCUGUUUGAUCAUAACUUCGUCAUCAUCUUGCAUUUUUUUUUAAUUUUUUUUUUCUCGUGUGUUACAUUUUUGUAUCAUUACAGUAUGGUCUCGUAUUGUUUAUGCGUAUGGUUUUUUUUAUUAAUCCAUAAUUAGGUUCUCUCUCGCUAUAUAUAUAUAUAUAUUUAACAAGGAGGUCUAAACUCAAGCACGAGUAAAUGGAAAAUAUGUAUCAAGGGAGUAAUAAGACGUACCUGUAAUCCUGUAAAAUCGACAAUUGAACUCAGGUAUUUCCUUUCGUUUUUUUGCAACUAUUUUGAUAGCUUUAAUUAUGCAGAGCUAUAACUUGUUUUAAUGAUUUAAUCUUUAUGAUUUAAUAUUGUUUGAAUGGGUAAAAGUUAUUGAAGUGAAAUGUACUACAAAUUCAAUUUCCGAACUCUAUUGAUAAAAGAAAAUAUAGUUUAAUUUUUUAUUUUGAUAGGGUGAGAAAAUAAUUUAAAAUUAAACGUAUCGUGGUUUAGUUUAUAAAUAUGUUUGAAUAAAACUAUUCAUUUUAUUCUAAGAACUAUAUUCAAAAAGUGGAAUAAAUGUUGUAAUUAAUCUGUUUGAUGAAUGAAUUAAUGAAAUUAUAAUUAAUAUGUAAUUGGUUAAUAAUAGUAUAGUAAUAAUUAAUCAUUUUUGAAGAAAUAACAACUAAAUAUUUUUUUAUAUCUAUUGGGAAAGAAAUCUCAAAAUUAGUGAUAUAAUUUUCAAGAAUUCAAAUUUUAAACUUUCUAUAAUUUUUUUUUUCUCGUGAUGAAAAAUAAGAUUAAGAUUUAAUGUGUUUUUAAUAUUGUUAGUGCGUUUUAGUAUUAUCUUAUAUAUAAAAAGAAGAUAUUUUGACCUAUAACCCUAACCCUAAACUUAUGGGUAUUUUUGACAAUUUUUAUUCUCGCAGUUUCUUUUUUUUCGAAGGUAACGAUUAAAAUGAAAAAUAAAAGAAAAGUAAAAAACAACAAAAAAACACAGAAGACACGAUCAGUAACUGCUCUCCAUUCAUCUCACGUAUUCCGCUUCUCCCGAAAAUCCCUUUGAACACCAAAAACUGCAACAAAAAGUAAUUUUAUUUGGCACUGCUCAACAUUCUUCAUCUCCUGAAGCCAAGAAUUAUAGAGUUCCGGGAAGAUUGAAGAAACUCCCUUUUCAUCCCUCCCGUAGAAAACCUCAACGGAAUUUUCCAAGCUUCCAUAUUUCGGGUAUGAAUUGAAGGAAUAUGGCCGAAGAAAACAUCAAAUUUUUCAGUUUUGUUAAGUCCUUCUGUAUUCGGUGUAUGCAUGUUCUCAUGGAUUUGUUUUUUCUUCAAAAAUUAGGGGUCAUGUGAUUAUUCUAAAUAAACACACACUGAAAUGCAUAGAGUAAAAUCGGUGAAAUUGAGGUGAAAAAGGGGUUCAACUAACAUACGAGAUCAAUGACAGUGGACAGUUGCCCAUAGGCUUUCAUCAUUGGAAUCUGAUUCGUCAAAGGCCAAGCAAAAGUGCGGUGAUUCGACUCUGUUGGUGAUUUCGACCUCAUUAUUGUUUUCUUUUCGUUUUUUUUUAACUCUGUAGACAGGGUUAGGAUUUGAGUUGAUUUAAGUAUUUUUCCAUCGUUAUACGUCUAUCUGACGAGGAUAUAACUUAUCAAUUACCACUAAAAAACUUAUAGUAGCCUCCACUGAUGCGCAUAAUCUUGAACCCCCUCUGAAAGAGCUAACUAACAGCAAAUUAGUAAAUGUUGAGCCUCUCUCUGGGAGAAAAGAUGGUGGAAAAGAUAGAACACAUAAACCAUCACGGAUGUGGCUGUGGGAUGCAUUUUGGAACCGAGUUAAACCAUCCGGUAAAAUGAGUUUUUAUUAUUCAUACGGCAACGAUUAAAUUAGAAAAUAUUUAUGUUCAUAUUUUUAUUUUCAAACCUCAAUGCCUUCUAUGUAAAAUGCUAUAAGACAUAAGUGAUCUUUAAGCUUUUUUUUCUUGAUAGAAGUUGGAUCCGGAGUUACAACUAACAAGAGAUUUGGAAUCACUAAAGGAAGAGUGCCUUCUUAAUUAUGUAUGUAGUCUAUGCAGAACUAUAUUCUAAUUCUUGAUAUGGCUCUACUGUUUGGAAUGACAUGUUUGUAGCAGCAGCAAAUGGUGCGAGAAGUUCUCAUCUCCAUGCUUCCUCCUGGUGCGCUUCCUCGAGUAUUGCCCCCUUUUUGCAUUCUUUUUUUCCUGGCUUUUUAUGAACCUUGGAUUUAUUUAAAUGGAAACAUUAUUAAUACUAAUUACAUAUACUGUAUGGAAUUCGUAUCAAAAUGAUUUUAGGAUGAAAUAACACGAACAUCAAACGUUCAUGUAUUAUGUUUAUCGCGCAUGUAGAUUGUAGAUACCAACAUGUAAAAUGAAUUGUUCGAGAGUUGUUUUAUUUCUUCUUAAAUUCUUCGUAGGCGAAUUUAUUCAGUUUCUAUUUUUUGUUUUCAGAUAGUUUUUUUUUUUUUAAUAAUUUAUGUAUAUUCAUUAUUGUGUUUCACUUCAUAUAGCCUGGAUGCCUUGACAAGAACAAUUACGAAAAAAAAAACCCCAUUUCUGUUUUGCGUUUAUGUAAAAUUUGGUUUCAGAAAAAUGUGUUCACCUGCUCAAAUAUAAGAAGAUCAGGGUGUGCAAUACUUUUGCUAACAACAGAGGUAAGUCUGGAUAAAUUGUUUGAUGCAUCAGUUCUCAUGAAAUUCUCAAGUAGGGCCUGAUAAAGACAGAUCAAGUUCAUCUGACCAUGAAUAAAGAUCAAAUUCUAUUGCACGGUCACUUAAGCAUUCCCAGCCUACUCUCUCCUCCAAAAAUAAGUAUAUAGCCAAACUCAAAAGGAUGAGUGCACAGAUCUUUAUGUAUGGUUCUUUGGAUCGCAAUGUCCGCAAGUGGGAUCUUGUGUGAUCGAAUGCGUAUCAGGUUAGUACAUCUCAUUCUUAGUUUGCAUUUUUUUUCACUAAUAAUUUUACAUUUGACUUGAAUAUCUAUUAAUUUUACAUGUUGAUUCUGCAUUGAUUAAUUUACUUCUUUUGCCGACAUAUUGAGUUUUAGAAAAUCCACCUUCUCAUGGACAUAGAAGAUUACUUUGUCUGUGAUAUUAAUCGAAAUUUAUAUUCAAAACUUUAAGACAUUCGGGCACAUGAUAUGGUUAUUGGAAUUAUUGGAGUGCCUCCAAGAUUGUUUUGCUUUUAAAGGACAUAUCUGAUGUGUGCUCACUAAUGUAGCUUUCUGGGAAUUUUACAUCUGUUUGCAGUGAUGAUGGAAGGAUGUGCGAUCAAAUUAUUCGAUUCUAGAUUAUUUUUCCUAUGAGAUCCAUUUUUAUAUUUAGGGUUCUUUCGAUACUAAAAGAUGUGUAUUAUAUAACAAAUUGUUACAAGUAUUAUUCUCUAUUGCACACAAUUAACUUUUUUAUUAUUCACUAUCAAGUUCAAUUGUUCCAUAUUGCAAGUAUGAAAAAAUGUAUAUUACUACAACUUUUAAUGUAAAUAUCUUCUGAUUUAUUAACACUACACGAAAAAAACAUAAAAAAUAAUGUGUUUGCUUAAUUGUGACAAAAGUCUCGAGAGAGUAAUGCGAUGAAGCAAAAUAUAUCUUGAGAUGCAUAAAAUGUGAAUAUGGUUUAACCUAAUAAAAUCAAUUCAACUGUUGAAAGUUAAAAAAUACAGUUUCAUGUAUUAGCUCAACAUAGAAAUGUAGAUGACCAAUCAUGUGAUUCAACAAGAAAAUGUUCCGAUAAAACUAAAAAUGAAUUAUAUUAUGUUUGCCAAAAAAUAAAUUUCAUCCUCGACAAUUCUCUAUUAACUUUGCUAUGACUAAUUGACUAUAAACGAAAGUCACGAGUAAUCUCUCCAACAUGUUGGCAUUUAAAAAUACUCAUCACCGACAAAGAAGAACAUACUCCAAAUAUUACAAGAAAGGUUUUACAAAAUUAAGUAUUUUAAAUUUACUAUAAUUAUAUCAUUUGGUAUUCUUUCCUACCAUAUUUAUCACUUACAAUAAAUAUACACUUCCAAUAACUCCCCAUAAUAACUUCUCACAUCCAUCGUAUAUAAACAUAUAUGGGAGACGGACCUAAGACUCGAACACAAGUCUAUUGUGUAUUAGAAGAGACGCUGACCACCUAAGUCAGAGCAAAUUUGUUAACUAAUACUUAUUUAAAUAUAAUACAUCAUUUCGUUUAUACUGGGCUGAAAAAAUAAUUGAACUGGCCGACCGGUUUAGAACCGGCAUGUGGACCGAACGCCGGAACUAAUUUUCCACGCUUAAAAUGGGCGUGUGAAAGCAGUUUCCACGCCUGGUUUAGGCGUGUAAACUGCUUUCACACUCCCAUUUUAGGCGUGGAAAAUUCGAAAACCCAACACUAAAAAUAAUCAUAAAUCGCGAUUUUCUGGGGAUUUUCACAUGAUUAACCAUAAAUUCAAUAUAUAUAACUACUUUAGAUGAUUAAUUACCUUUCAGAUUGACGAGAUUUUCGGAUUUGAAAGAAUUUAUCAGAGAGAUUUGUGAAAGAGGAUGAGAAUUAAUCACGACCAUUUGAAGUAUAAUACAUAAGGAAAGUAAACAGCUGUCAUUAAUAUCCUUCCCUGUCCAAUUUCUUUGCAGUUUAAAUACUAGCUAAUGUUAAUAUUAUUAUUAUUAAUAAUAUUAAUUUUAAUACUAAUUCUAAUAUUUUAAUAUUAAUCAUAUUUUUAAUGUCAAUGUUAAUGUUAAUACUGUUUUGCUAUUUAGCUAUUUAUUGUUUAAUAGUAGUGCAAUAUAGAUACGGCCACGGGCCGGGUUCGACCCGGAUUCGGUCCAGACCCGACCCGAAGACCGCCCCGCCCCACUCCACCCUAUUGAUCAUUGACCCGGACCCGGACCUGAUAAAGUACGGGUCGGUUUUGGGUCCCAAUUUUUGGGAUUUCUUUGAUACUUACAAAUGAAGUCCCUACUCCUAUUUAUACUAGACCAAUUCCUCAAUGAAUAAUGAAAAUCUCUCUGAUCUAAUGGAUAGGAAUAGUUGUUCACUAGAAUACUCCAAAUAAUUCCUACAAAAAUUUUUCUAUAAUUAUCUAGGGAAUCUCUACAAGGUCUAUUACAUUUGGGUCAACUUCGGCCUAACCAAAAAAUCUGGGACUCGGGUAAUUGACAAAGAGUUGGGCCCAACAGUUGGUGUGUGAUAUUUUAUUUAUUUCCUUAAUUCACUCAUUUAUUUCCUUAAUUAGCGUGUUUACUUCUUUUCCUUUAGUUACUAUCCUUACUUUUCAAUUUCUUACAACGUUUUUCAAUUUCUUGCAACGUAAGCAUACAAAAAUUAUUUCAUAAUGUAUUAUAAUUUUAUAAUUAAUUUAUGGGGAAACUACAGAUAAAUCCCUAAUCCAAAACUCAAAACACAGAUCAGUCCCUAGGUAGUUUCCCCAAGCAAUUCAGUCCCUAUUCACGCGUCUGACAUGCAGAUCAGUCCCUAAUGUUAAUUUUAUAUAUUUUAUUAUAUUUUCUCUCUUCUUUUUCACUCUCACCAUUUUCUCUCUCCUCCUUUUUUCUCUCUUCAUUUUCUCUCUCUUCAUCUUCUCUUUCUUUCUUCUCUUUCUUCAUUUCUAUCUGCUCUCUUUCUUCUCUAUUUCUUCUCUCUUUCUCUCCUCUGGUUUCCUCUUUUUUCCGACGAAAAAAUCACUGUAAAACCCACCCACCCAACAAUGGCUACAAAUGAUGUAUCUAAUGAUGUACCCACAGUGAUUCUUGGAAGUUGUCGAUACAAAGAUCAACUUCACAUUAUUUCCAUCAAAAGUAAUUCGACCUUAAUGGAGAUAUAUGGUGCUAUUAUCAACAAAUGGAAUCAUAUCCAUCCAUAUGCACUGAUCCUCCAAUACUUGGCUCAUCGGGAAAGAUUGUAUGUGACAUUGGGCAGUGAUGAAGAUGUGGAGAAUAUGGUUGCAUUGCAUCUGAUAAUGAAGAUGAGUGUGGUCGACAUUGUCGUGAUCCGCAAAGAUGCUAAUUCGCGUGGAAAGAGGGUUCGCACCGAUGGUUCGUGAAUAUAGUACGCUUUGUUCACCAAAUAAGUACAAUGUAUAAGCUGGUAAAGUUCGGGUUAUUCGUGAAUAUAGUACGCUUUAUUCACCAAAUAAGUACAAUAUAUAAGCUGGUAAAGUUUGGGUUGUUCGUGAAUAUAGUACGUUUUAUUCACCAAAUAAGUACAAUGUAUAAGCUGGUAAAGUUUGGGUUAUUCGUGAAUAUAGUACGCUUUGUUCAUCAAGUAGGUACAAUGAAUACACAUGUGAAGUACAAGUGAUUCGUGACUAUAGUACGCUUUGUUCACUGAUAAAGUAUAUGUUUGUCAUUCAUAUAGUAUUGUUACACUCUAUAUAUUAUUGUCGGGCCAAUGCAUCCAUAUGAUCGCAUUUGAAGACACAACUCUUCAGUUUAAGACUAUUAAGAAUGAAUGGAGACAAUGUGGGAGUUGAUCAAUAUCGAUUAUGGUAACAAUUGAGGAAAAUAUUAGUUUUACACUUGCGCAUUGUGGGUUUGUAUGAAUAUAUUGUAUAGUAUAUGAGUAUCAUGUAUGAAAUUCAACAUAUUUAUGGGAUCUUGUAUUCCAAAUGCAACAAUAAUGCUCACCUACCUUAAAAUAAUCAUCUAAAACAUAAUUUAUGCAUCUCCCGUACUUAUUGAUCAUUAAGCGUCAAUGAAAUUGGUACAAUUCAAUUCAUCAAAAAAUAUGGUACGCUUUGUUCAUCAAGUAAGUACAAUGAAUACACAUGUGAAGUACAAGUGAUUCGUGACUAUAGUACGCUUUGUUCACUGAUAAAGUAUAUGUUUGCCAUUCAUAUAGUAUUGGUAUACUCUAUAUAUUAUUUUCGGGCCAAUGCAUCCAUAUGAUCGCAUUUGAAGACACAACUCUUCAGUUUAAGACUAUUAAGAAUGAAUGGAGACAAUGUGGGAGUUGAUCAAUAUCGAUUAUGGUAACAAUUGAGGAAAAUAUUAGUUUUACACUUGAGCAUUGUAGGCUUGUAUGAAUAUAUUGUAUAGUAUAUGAGUAUCAUGUAUGAAAUUCAACAUAUUUAUGGGAUCUUGUAUUCCAAACGCAACAAUAAUGCUCACCUACCUUAAAAUAAUCAUCUAAAACAUAAUUUAUGCAUCUCCCGUACUUAUUGAUCAUUAAAGCGUCAAUGAAAUUGGUACAAUUCAAUUCAUCAAAAAAUAUGGUACGCUUUGUUCAUCAAGUAAGUACAAUGAAUACACAUGUGAAGUACAAGUGAUUCGUGACUAUAGUACGCUUUGUUCACUGAUAAAGUAUAUGUUUGCCAUUCAUAUAGUAUUGUUAUACUCUAUAUAUUAUUUUCGGGCCAAUGCAUCCAUAUGAUCGCAUUUUAAGACACAACUCUUCAGUUUAAGACUAUUAAGAAUGAAUGGAGACAAUGCGGGAGUUGAUCAAUAUCGAUUAUGGUAACAAUUGAGGAAAAUAUUAGUUUUACACUUGAGCAUUGUAGACUUGUAUGAAUACAUUGUAUAGUAUAUGAGAAUCAUGUAUGAAAUUCAACAUAUUUAUGGGAUCUUGUAUUCCAAACGCAACAAUAAUGUUCACCUACCUUAGAAUAAUCAUCUAAAACAUAAUUUAUGCAUCUCCCGUACUUAUUGAUCAUUAAAGCGUCAAUGAAAUUGGUACAAUUCAAUUCAUCAAAAAAUAUGGUACGCUUUGUUCAUCAAGUAAGUACAAUGAAUACACAUGUGAAGUACAAGUGAUUCGUGACUAUAGUACACUUUGUUCACUGAUAAAGUAUAUGUUUGCCAUUCAUAUAGUAUUGUUACACUCUAUAUAUUAUUGUCGGGCCAAUGCAUCCAUAUGAUCGCAUUUGAAGACACAACUCUUCAGUUUAAGACUAUUAAGAAUGAAUAGGAACAAUGUGGGAGUCGAUUAUGGUAAGUUUUUCGUGAAGUACGCUUUGUUCAUCAAGUAAGUACAAGUCUAGUGUUGACAAGGUAUCUUCGAAUAGACUAGGAAGUAUUUGUUGCUCAUUUUUAUGGUACGCUUAUAUUCUUUAUACAAACUAAUUAAUCGCAAAAUAAAGUACCAUGUGUUCAAAAGGUAAGUACAUUUCAUCGAAACAUAUAGUACAAUGUAUACAAUGGAAAAGUACGAGUAGAGCUAAUCAAUAGUAUUAUUAGCUCUACAACAAAAGGACAGAUUGUUUAUGGCACAAAAACACAUUCAUCUGUUUGAAAAGCGAUCGGUGAGCACCUGCAGCCUAUUGAUAGCUUGCUGCAAUCUUCUUUUACAUCAAUUCCUGCAAUUACAUACACAUAAAACUACAAUUAUAACAAAUACAACGUACUAUAAAGUUCCACUACUAGUACUUUCAGUAAUUUCGUUCAAUACCAUCCAAAUGCACGAGCAAUUCCAUUGUUGCAUAUGACACACACUACAUUACAAUCAAACAUUAUACUAUUCGAUUGCACUAGCAAUGCCAUUCAAAGACACUAGCAAUACUAUUGUGGCAUAUGACACAUACUACAGAACCAUCAAAGAUUAUACUUCCAGUACCCUGUGUUAAUACCGUCCGAAGUCAAGAGCAAUACCAUUAUUACAUAUGACAUAUCCCUUGUUGGGACUAAAUUCUUUCGGGACAGUACUUCGAUUACCCUGUGUCAAUACCAUCUAAAUGCACUAUUAAUACCAUUAUUGCACAUGACACAUACUAUAGAACCAGUACGAAAAAUACAAUAAGCCUCUUUCCAAUAUCCUAUAUGAAACCCUUGUUAGGACUAAAAUGCUUUGGGGACAUGCUAAUGUCACCGAAGAAUAAUACCCAUGAGAAAACUGUUACAAAAUCAUGAAAUUCGAUAACAAAUAAAUGAUCUUUGCAAACCCAAACAACAAAACAACAGAUAUUGGAACCGAUUUAAUGAUUAGGGGAAACACCGAAUAAAGUCGAGGCAUAAUACCCAUGAGUGGAUAUGUUCAAAAUCAUGCAAUUCUAUAACAAAUAAACCUUUUGCAAGCUUAAGCAACACCCAAAUGGGUCUGUUUCCAAGAAAAUGAAAAAAAAAAAAAAUCAAACCUUGUUGUUUACCCUGCUUCACCAUUGUCUAUAAAUGGGUUUGUUUAUUUUUAUUUUUCCUUUCGCUUUAUUAUUUUUCUGCGUUUUGUUGAUUCUUCGUGCUUCGUAAUUUCUUCGUUCUUUGUUGUUUCUUUGUUCUUCGUUUCUUCUUUGUUUCUUCUUGGUCUGAAAAUGAGUAUAAACUGAACGGUGGUUUGAAAUGUAACGGGCAAAGAGCGUGUAACACAAACGGCGCGUUGGAAGUUGAAAAGAAGUUAUGUAAAAUUAGUAUAAAGUAAAGGGUAUUUUAGUAUUUGCACAUUUUAUUAGGGACUGAUCUGCAUGUUAGGCGCGUGAGUAGGGACUUAAUUGCUUGGGGAAACUACCUAGGGACUGAUCUGUGUUUUGAGUUUUGGAUUAGGGAUUUAUCUGUAGUUUCCCCUUAAUUUAUUCAAUAUGGAUUUUUUUUUGAGAACUAUAUGGAAAUAUUUAAAUGAAAAUUGAUUUAUUUCAUAUCGAACUAAUACUUGGCUAAUUACUACUAAUAUUAACAUAUACGUACAACAAAAUAGGUGGACCUUGUUAUGACAUCAGAUAUAAGUAACAUGUUUAAAUUGUUUUUUAUUAUGAAAACAUGUAAUGAAUACUUUACCAUAUUGUGGAAAGUGGAAAUUAAUGUUGGAUAAUUAAUAAAUUUAUGUAAAUAGAAUAAAUAAUUACACGCAUGAAACGAGUAAGAUUCCACGUAGCUAAGGGAAUUAAAUAGAUAGAUAGAUUAUUAAAUUUUAUAUAAUAUAUAGAUAGAUUUAAAAAGAAGAAAAUGAAUUGAAAAAAAUAACAAACACGUUAAAUUUUUAAAUCACUGUUCACCUUUGAAGAAGUUUUGAAAAAGAAAAUUAUAGGAAACUUCAAAUUUGAAUAAUUGAAAAUUAUUUAGGCACAAAAAACAUUUAUAAUGUAUAAUAAUAAAUCCCACCAGCAUCACCAAUAUAGUCCGGUUCAAGAUAUUCUUGACCCAUCUUUUAGAACAGGGCAAUUUAGGUAUUUACUGUAUUUGAAAAUACAUGCAGCGGUAUACAUGAUGAAAUUACAUAGGCAAUUCUUUUGUCUGGUAAUAAACAGAAAAAAAAAAAAAAAAAAAAAAACAGCCGCACAUAUGGCGUUUACAACAAAAACAACUCUCGGAAAAAGAAAAAAAAAAGAAAAGGCGCGGUAGAACGAAGCAUCAACUAGUGUGGUGUACAACACAUUUUACAUUUACAAUGAUCAGAUAAUGCGAACAAGAUUUCCGAUAAAUAGGGUUGGGGGUAUUUAAAGUUCACCUUUCACAUUACCUCUUUUAAGGAAAAGAAAAACGCGAUCCAAUUUUUACUUUCUGAU
rnacentral:lncRNA from 1 species